UGGGGAAUAUUGCACAAUGGGCGCAAGCCUGAUGCAGCCAUGCCGCGUGUAUGAAGAAGGCCUUCGGGUUGUAAAGUACUUUCAGCGGGGAGGAAGGGAGUAAAGUUAAUACCUUUGCUCAUUGACGUUACCCGCAGAAGAAGCACCGGCUAACUCCGUGCCAGCAGCCGCGGUAAUACGGAGGGUGCAAGCGUUAAUCGGAAUUACUGUGCGUAAAGCGCACGCAGGCGGUUUGUUAAGUCAGAUGUGAAAUCCCCGGGCUCAACCUGGGAACUGCAUCUGAUACUGGCAAGCUUGAGUCUCGUAGAGGGGGGUAGAAUUCCAGGUGUAGCGGUGAAAUGCGUAGAGAUCUGGAGGAAUACCGGUGGCGAAGGCGGCCCCCUGGACGAAGACUGACGCUCAGGUGCGAAAGCGUGGGGAGCAAACAGG
rnacentral:rRNA from 1 species